GAUCAUGGCUCAGGAUGAACGCUAGCUACAGGCUUAACACAUGCAAGUCGAGGGGCAGCAUGAACUUAGCUUGCUAAGUUGAUGGCGACCGGCGCACGGGUGAGUAACGCGUAUCCAACCUUCCGUUUACUCAGGGAUAGCCUUUCGAAAGAAAGAUUAAUACCUGAUGGUAUCUUAAUGACACAUGUAAUUAAGAUUAAAGAUUUAUCGGUAAACGAUGGGGAUGCGUUCCAUUAGGUAGUAGGCGGGGUAACGGCCCACCUAGCCUGCGAUGGAUAGGGGUUCUGAGAGGAAGGUCCCCCACAUUGGAACUGAGACACGGUCCAAACUCCUACGGGAGGCAGCAGUGAGGAAUAUUGGUCAAUGGACGAGAGUCUGAACCAGCCAAGUAGCGUGCAGGAUGACGGCCCUAUGGGUUGUAAACUGCUUUUAUAAGGGAAUAAAGUGAGUCUCGUGAGACUUUUUGCAUGUACCUUAUGAAUAAGGACCGGCUAAUUCCGUG
rnacentral:rRNA from 1 species